rnacentral:rRNA from 1 species
AUGGGCGGCACCAUGGUGCUCCCGUCGUCUAUGCUCCCGCGCCGUAGCGCCGCCGCCGCCGCCGACCUGCACUCCUACUCCUCCCGCGUGCGCGUGCAUCCCGCCUUGAUGGCGAACCCCGCGGCUGCCAAGAAGCCAAAGCGCCCCGGAUCCGUGCGCGACGAGCAACCGCGGGCGAAGCACGUACGUGGUGCCUGCUCGGGAGGCGAGCUCCAUGCCGCGGUCACCGCCACCGCCAACAUCAAGAGCAGCAAGCUUCCGUGUCCCAGCAGCGGCAAGGAUCCGAAGAGUCCGACGUGCCUCCACCCUUCCGGGAUCAAGAACCAGGUCGCCGAAUCUCCGGCGAGCGCAACGCAAUCGAAGCCGCAGAUCAGCAUGCGAGAACUGAUCGAGAAAGCUCGCCUCACCAUGGCUCUCCUCGACAAGGCUCGCUCUGCCUCCCAAGAAGAGGCCACCCGUCGGCGCGAGAUCCAGCGCAGCAGAGCGGAGGCCCGACGAAAGGUGGAGCAGAUGGCGAACACCGUGCAGUUCAGCGACCCCUGGAUCCAUCACUUCGACGUGACCAAGUCCCCUGAGGAGCUUCUCCAAGCAAGACAGCAAGCAUGGCGUUAUCAAGCUCACCUCAUCGAGAUGGCUCGUCGACGGGGCUAUGCUCAAGCGAUAUAA